rnacentral:lncRNA from 1 species
UCUUGUAAAUUAUUCCUUGAAAAAUGACCUUGUUCUCCUUCAAUCUGUUUAAAUUCACAGUGAAAUCAUGAGGUAGUCAUAUCCCAAUUCCCAGACAACAUGCUUCUCUUUCCUGGGUUGGACAUUCAAGACUCCAAAAUCCGUCUCAGAUAUAGCAAGAAGGAGCCCAUCUGCAAACGAGAAGAGGGUCCUCUCCAGGAACCAAAUCAGCUAGCAGCUUGAUCUUGGACUUCUCAGCCUCCAGAAUUCAGCAUUCUGUCACUCAUUAUGUCAAGACUCUCCUUGAAUUCUGUUAAUAAUGGAAGAAAUGAAGAGGAGAAGGGGAUAUGAAAGAGCAUCACAGGACAAAGCCAUCUCUAUAUUGGGGUUACAGCUUCAACCAAGGGAAAGUGUGAGAGAUCUGGAAGGAAAACAAAAGAAUAUGGGCCAUAGCAAGAUAUUGUUCUCAAGGGCAUAAUGACCUCUAUGAUCUCUCUCAAGUUGGAGAAGUUCUAGUCCCAUUUCACACUGUUCUAGUUUCAGGUAACAACAAUGAAAAUUGAACUAGCUUAAGGCAAAAGGGGACAUGAACAACUAACCCACAGGAAGAGCUUGAAUAUUCUCCAGAUCCAUCUGAGAUUUUGAUUCUUUCAAACAGUAGCUUCAUUCUUACCACGGCCUGGUUAUUCCUAUAUAGAAGGAAAGAAAAACUAGAUGUGGAGUUUUAGAUCUCAAAAGCUAUCCAUGAAAGACUGGAUAUAAACUCUUUAUUUCAUUUACAAAAACUGCCAGAUAAAGGACUCAGUGGAAGUCCCAUCCAAUUAACAGUGAGCAAGGCAUUUUACUUGGUUCAACUUGGUGUUUUGAGUGAUCCAACUUAGAGCCAGGGAGUGGGAGUUGUUGUAGCACGGAGGUAGAUCCAAGUUAAACAUGUAGAACUGAGGAAAGGGCUGUUUCUGGAAAAUGGGCACUCAGCAGGUAAUUCCAGGUAUUCAUCCGUGGCUUGCUAAGUAACACAUUGUGUUACCCACAUAAUUUUUAUGCAGGUUCUGAGUAACAGCAACACAUUCUAGUUAGGUCCCCUAAUAGGGAUUUAUUAUCAAGCUAUAUGGAAAAGUAAAGAAAUACAGAGAUUCAUCUUGGCCUCUAACAAUCCAAGUAUCAUGUCCUUUCUACAUCAGCUAGUAAAUAUUCCCUACUCUGGUAUUUGUUUCUUAUAAUGACUUAGAUGAGAUGGGAAGCAAAUGAGGGUAGACACUGAAAUAACUGAUUCUUGACUUGAGCUCAUGGCUUCUUUCUCAUCCUUUGGCUUGCCCAUACAGGGUACUACCUUCCUGUCUACAUUUCAAAUUAUCUGAGCUGGAAUCUGAUUGGGUAGACAAGGCACCAUCAAAUAUAUCAUGCUUUUUUUGGCAAAAGCUUUGAUGUCAAAUCAUUUUAUAGGCUGCUGUUCAGAUACCCAUCUGUGGCCACAUAUCUAAAAUUGUUGUUUCAAUGUUAGAAUGAGUAAAAUGGGGAUCAAGGCAGAACAAACAGAAUUAGAGGGAAACUGUGGGUAUGUUGGGUAAUGUAAUAGGUGAAUCCUUGUAUGGGCUGUUUAAUAUCCACAAAAAUAUAUACUAAGUGUUUUUUUAAACCAAUGAAUAUUAAUGGAAAAUCCUCCUUUGUCAAGAAUUAUUCUAGAAGAUAUGGGUGAGAGCAGGGCAUAUAGAAGAUAUUCUGUUAUAGAAAAGCUAUAAAAUUGACAGGGGAACAAAAACUAACAUAAUUGGCACAACUAUAAAAAAAUCCAAAAUAUUCAGGCCAUGAAGUUUUUGCCCUACAAUUUAAGCGAAAAUAUGCAACUCAUUUAUUCACUUUGUCUUUUUUUUCUUUUUCU